GGGUAUAUAGCUCAGUGGUAGAGUGUAUGCUUAGCAUGCACAAGGCCCUGGGUCCAAUCCCCAGCACCUCCA
rnacentral:tRNA from 1 species